GUCUAUGUUUAUGCCACCCCAAAUGUGCUCAAUCUCGUCUGAUCUUGGAAGCUAAACCGUGUCGGGCCAGAUUAGUACUUGGAUGGGAGACCUGGGAGACCACCUAGGAACACCAGGUGCUAUAGGUG
rnacentral:rRNA from 1 species